rnacentral:lncRNA from 1 species
AGUGCACUGACAGGAUCCUAAAGGCCACGAGACGCCUGGCACAUACCAGGAUGCGGCUCAGAGCUAUCUUUCUGUCACACCUCACUUGCUUCUAUCGCUUUUAGUGGUCCCGAGCCACAAGCAAGUGUGUGAUGCAUCCCCUCUGCUCCAAGUGGCAGGGACCCCUCGCGGUCACUUCGGAAGAACAGCCAGAGAAGGCCAGGGUCCAGGGCAGAAGCAGGGCAGAUGCAGGCCAGACCAGGGCGCGCUGUCCGGCAGACAGCCAGCUUGGUUUUCCACAAGCAUGAAGAGACAAGGAAAUCUGUGCGGAUCACAGGUCUAUUAUAAUAGUUUGGAAACAGCUCCUCCCUUGAAUUGCUUGCUUUGGAAUUAAGUGUAGAACAUCAAUUGAGUGAUAGAAGGUGAAACUAAGGGAAUAAAGGUUGGGAAAAUGAAGAACCCACAAAGAAGUGAAGACCAGCAACAGUACCUCCCAUGCCCACUCAUGCAGCUAACAGACAUAUUCACAGAUGCACACACACACACUCACACACACACACACACACAAGCUUGAAUGCACACUCAUGCAGUUAACUUAGCCUUACAGUAACACACAUGCAUGUUCUUCAAAUCCCCAUGCACUGUUAGUCUUUUUCACACAUGGAAACAGGCAGGCGGUAGCUGUGUCUGCUUAGCUGCAAACUGAUCAUUUGC